AUAGCGUAUAUUAAAGUUGUUGCAGUUAAAAAGCUCGUAGUUGAACUUCAGACCUGGCCGGGCGGUCUGCCUCACGGCAUGUACUGUCUGGCUGGGCCUUACCUCUUGGUGAGCCGGCAUGUCCUUUACUGGGUGUGUCGGGGAACCAGGACUUUUACUUUGAGAAAAUUAGAGUGUUCAAAGCAGGCCUAUGCCCGAAUACAUUAGCAUGGAAUAAUAGAAUAGGACGUGCGGUUCUAUUUUGUUGGUUUCUAGAGUCGCCGUAAUGAUUAAUAGGGAUAGUUGGGGGCAUUAGUAUUCAGUUGCUAGAGGUGAAAUUCUUGGAUUUACUGAAGACUAACUUCUG
rnacentral:rRNA from 1 species